CUUAUACCGUUACCGUGUAGUUGUGCGUCUUGUCGUGUUUUUUGUAAAUUUCGGCGUUGUUUCCUAAUACAUAUUUAACAUAAAAUGCCACAUAAAUGUGCCAUGGCAGACUAGAUGCGUAAAGCAGGAGAUGCUGGAAUAAUAGUGUUUUCAUUACCGAAAAAUCCUGCUAUCUGAGACGAGAGGCUCCAGUUUGCGAACAUUGAUGCCAGAGAAAAUAGGAGCAUUCGCAUAUUAAUUUAAUAUUUAAAUAAUUUUAAUUUUUAAUUAAUUUAAAAACUUAAUUGUAUAAUUGUGCAUACAUAUUUUAAAGAAUAUAUUGUAUGUUUAUACCGUACAAUAAUUUAUUAUAUCCUACCUCUCUUUUAACUUUUACUAUUAUGUAUAAAUAAUUCCUAAGUAUAAACUAAUGUAACUAUACUAUAUAACUAAGUGUAAGUAUGAACUUAUAUUACUUAAUUGUAACUUAUGUUUCAUAAUUAUAUAUACUUUAUUACAUCAUAUAACUUCAAUCUUUUUACAGAAAUCUUGUCGCAAUAAAGACGCGCAACACUUUUCCAUGAUACACUUUAUACACUAUGUUUUAACUUUUACGUUAUUACAAAAUAUAAAUUGUACCAUGAAAGAUUUGUUAUGCGUCGUUAUUGUGAUGUAAGUUCACAGAAUUCAAAUUUGUGACCUGAGGUUUCUGGGAUUAUAGAACUACGGAGCAACUUGCGGAGUGAGGUGAAAGGAGGGGAUGCUUAAUACGGUUCCCACUCACCAGAGGGCACUGAAAC